rnacentral:rRNA from 1 species
AAGUGGGGCGUUGCUUACCAUGCAAGUCGAGCGAAGCGCUUGAAUACGAUUCUUCGGAUGAAGAUUCUUGUGACUGAGCGGCGGACGGGUGAGUAACGCGUGGGCAACCUGCCUUACACAGGGGGAUAACAGUUAGAAAUGACUGCUAAUACCGCAUAAGACCACGAAACUGCAUGGUUUUGUGGUAAAAACUCCGGUGGUGUAAGAUGGGCCCGCGUCUGAUUAGGUAGUUGGCGGGGUAACGGCCCACCAAGCCGACGAUCAGUAGCCGACCUGAGAGGGUGACCGGCCACAUUGGGACUGAGACACGGCCCAGACUCCUACGGGAGGCAGCAGUGGGGAAUAUUGCACAAUGGGGGAAACCCUGAUGCAGCGACGCCGCGUGAGCGAUGAAGUAUUUCGGUAUGUAAAGCUCUAUCAGCAGGGAAGAAAAUGACGGUACCUGACUAAGAAGCCCCGGCUAACUACGUGCCAGCAGCCGCGGUAAUACGUAGGGGGCAAGCGUUAUCCGGAUUUACUGGGUGUAAAGGGAGCGUAGACGGCUUUGCAAGCCAGAUGUGAAAGCCCGGGGCUCAACCCCGGGACUGCAUUUGGAACUGUGUGGCUAGAGUGUCGGAGAGGCAGGCGGAAUUCCUAGUGUAGCGGUGAAAUGCGUAGAUAUUAGGAGGAACACCAGUGGCGAAGGCGGCCUGCUGGACGAUGACUGACGUUGAGGCUCGAAAGCGUGNGGAGCAAACAGGAUUAGAUACCCUGGUAGUCCACGCCGUAAACGAUGACUACUAGGUGUCGGGUGGCAAAGCCAUUCGGUGCCGCAGCCAACGCAAUAAGUAGUCCACCUGGGGAGUACGUUCGCAAGAAUGAAACUCAAAGGAAUUGACGGGGAACCCCCACAACCGGUGG